CGGGUGAGUAACACGUAUCCAACCUGCCGUCUACUCUUGGACAGCCUUCUGAAAGGAAGAUUAAUACAAGAUGGCAUCAUGAGUCCACAUGUUCACAUGAUUAAAGGUAUUCCGGCAGACGAUGGGGAUGCGUUCCAUUAGAUAGUAGGCGGGGUAACGGCCCACCUAGUCUUCGAUGGAUAGGGGUUCUGAGAGGAAGGUCCCCCACAUUGGAACUGAGACACGGUCCAA
rnacentral:rRNA from 1 species